rnacentral:rRNA from 1 species
AUUGAACGCUGGCGGCAGGCCUAACACAUGCAAGUCGAACGAGUCGCGGACGGGUGAGUAAUGUCUGGGAAAUUGCCUGAUGUUGGGGGUUAACUUCUGGAAACGGUAGCUAAUACCGCAUACCAUCGUAUGUGCCCAGAUGGGAUUAGCUAGGAGGUGGGGGAAAGGCUCGCGUGGGGGACGAUCCCUAGCUGGUCUGAGAGGAUGACCGGCCCAACUGGAGCUGAUACACGGACCAGACUCCUACGGGAGGGCGCAGUGGGGAAUAUUGCGCAGUGGGCGCAAGCCUGAUGCAACCAUGCGGCGUGUGAUGAGAAGGCCUUCGGGUUGUAAAGCACGUUCAGCGAGGAGGCGUUACUCGCAGAAGAAGCACCGGCUAACUACGUGCCAGCAGCCGCGGUAAUUC